AUUGAACGCUGGCGGCAGGCCUAACACAUGCAAGUCGAGCGGUAGAGAGGUGCUUGCAUCUCUUGAGAGCGGCGGACGGGUGAGUAAUGCCUAGGAAUCUGCCCUAGUGGUGGGGGAUAACGUUCGGAAACGGACGCUAAUACCGCAUACGUCCUACGGGAGAAAGCGGGGGAUCUUCGGACCUCGCGCCAUUAGAUGAGCCUAGGUCGGAUUAGCUAGUUGGUGAGGUAAUGGCCUCACCAAGGCGACGACUACCGU
rnacentral:rRNA from 1 species